rnacentral:tRNA from 1 species
GGGCUCGUAGCAGAACGGCAAUGCGCUCCCUUAGCGAGGGAGAGACUGAGGGUUCGAAUCCCUCCGAGUCCA